rnacentral:rRNA from 1 species
AUUGAACGCUGGCGGCGAUGCCUUACACAUGCAAGUCGAACGGUAACGGGCCUUCGGGUGCCGACGAGUGGCGAACGGGUGAGUAAUGCAUCGGAACGUACCUUUCAGUGGGGGAUAACGUAGCGAAAGUUACGCUAAUACCGCAUAUUCUGUGAGCAGGAAAGCAGGGGAUCGCAAGACCUUGCGCUGAUUGAGCGGCCGAUGUCAGAUUAGCUAGUUGGUGAGGUAAAGGCUCACCAAGGCGACGAUCUGUAGCGGGUCUGAGAGGAUGAUCCGCCACACUGGAACUGAGACACGGUCCAGACUCCUACGGGAGGCAGCAGUGGGGAAUUUUGGACAAUGGGGGCAACCCUGAUCCAGCCAUGCCGCGUGAGUGAAGAAGGCCUUCGGGUUGUAAAGCUCUUUCGGCCGGGAAGAAAUCGCAUGGGCUAAUACCCUGUGCGGAUGACGGUACCGGCAUAAGAAGCACCGGCUAACUACGUG